GACGAGCGCUGGCGGCGUGCUUAACACGUGCGAGUCGAGCGAGGAGGCCGAGCUUGCUAGGUGGAUGAGUGGCGAACGGGGGAGUAAUACGUGAGUAACCUACCUUGAACUCUGGGAUAAGCCUGGGAAACUGGGGCUAAUACCGGAUACGACCAAUCUCCGCAUGGGGUGUUGGUGGAAAGCGUUAUGUAGUGGUUAUAGAUGGGCUCACGGCCUAUCAGCUUGUUGGUGAGGUAACGGCUCACCAAGGCGACGACGGGUAGCCGGCCUGAGAGGGUGACCGGCCACACUGGGACUGAGACACGGCCCAGACUCCUACGGGAGGCAGCAGUGGGGAAUAUUGCACAAUGGGCGCAAGCCUGAUGCAGCGACGCCGCGUGAGGGAUGACGGCCUUCGGGUUGUAAACCUCUGUUAGCAGGGAAGAAGAGAAAUUGACGGUACCUGCAGAGAAAGCGCCGGCUAACUACGUGCCAGCAGCCGCGGUAAUACGUAGGGCGCGAGCGUUGUCCGGAAUUAUUGGGCGUAAAGAGCUUGUAGGCGGUUUGUCGCGUCUGCUGUGAAGGCCGGGGCUUAACCCCGUGUAUUGCAGUGGGUACGGGCAGACUAGAGUGCAGUAGGGGAGACUGGAAUUCCUGGUGUAGCGGUGGAAUGCGCAGAUAUCAGGAGGAACACCGAUGGCGAAGGCAGGUCUCUGGGCUGUAACUGACGCUGAGAAGCGAAAGCAUGGGGAGCGAACAGGAUUAGAUACCCUGGUAGUCCAUGCCGUAAACGUUGGGCACUAGGUGUGGGGGACAUUCCACGUUUUCCGCGCCGUAGCUAACGCAUUAAGUGCCCCGCCUGGGGAGUACGGCCGCAAGGCUAAAACUCAAAGAAAUUGACGGGGGCCCGCACAAGCGGCGGAGCAUGCGGAUUAAUUCGAUGCAACGCGAAGAACCUUACCAAGGCUUGACAUAUACUGGACCGCAUCAGAGAUGGUGUUUCCCUUCGGGGCUGGUAUACAGGUGGUGCAUGGUUGUCGUCAGCUCGUGUCGUGAGAUGUUGGGUUAAGUCCCGCAACGAGCGCAACCCUCGUUCUAUGUUGCCAGCACGUUAUGGUGGGGACUCAUAGGAGACUGCCGGGGUCAACUCGGAGGAAGGUGGGGAUGACGUCAAAUUAUCAUGCCCCUUAUGUCUUGGGCUUCACGCAUGCUACAAUGGCCGGUACAGAGGGUUGCGAUACUGUGAGGUGGAGCUAAUCCCUAAAAGCCGGUCUCAGUUCGGAUUGGGGUCUGCAACUCGACCCCAUGAAGUCGGAGUCGCUAGUAAUCGCAGAUCAGCAACGCUGCGGUGAAUACGUUCCCGGGCCU
rnacentral:rRNA from 1 species